GACGAACGCUGGCGGCGUGCUUAACACAUGCAAGUCGAACGAAGUGGCGAACGGGUGAGUAACGCGUAAUCAACCUGCCCUUCAGAGGGGGACAACAGUUGGAAACGACUGCUAAUACCGCAUACUGUAGGUGGGGAUUGCGUCUGAUUAGCUAGUUGGAGGGGUAACGGCCCACCAAGGCGAUGCUCAGUAGCCUGGUUGGGAGGAAGGACGGCCACAUCGGGACUGGGGCAAGGCCCAGACUCCUACGGGAGGGAGCAGGGGGGAAUCUUCCGAAAUGGACGAAAGUCUGACGGAGCAACGCCGCGUGGGUGAUGACGGCCUUCGGGUUGUAAAACUCUGUUAAUCGGGACGCGGUACCGGAAUAGAAAGCAACGGCUAACUACGUGCCAGCAGCCGCGGUAAUAC
rnacentral:rRNA from 1 species